AACGAACGCUGGCGGCACGCCUAACACAUGCAAGUCGAACGAGACCUUCGGGUCUAGUGGCGCACGGGUGCGUAACGCGUGGGAACCUGCCCUUAGGUUCGGAAUAACUCCCCGAAAGGGGUGCUAAUACCGGAUAAUGUCUUCGGACCAAAGAUUUAUCGCCUUUGGAUGGGCCCGCGUUGGAUUAGCUAGUUGGUAGGGUAAAAGCCUACCAAGGCGACGAUCCAUAGCUGGUCUGAGAGGAUGAUCAGCCACACUGGGACUGAGACACGGCCCAGACUCCUACGGGAGGCAGCAGCGGGGAAUAUUGGACAAUGGGCGAAAGCCUGAUCCAGCAAUGCCGCGUGAGUGAUGAAGGCCUUAGGGUUGUAAAGCUCUUUUACCCGGGAUGAUAAUGACAGUACCGGGAGAAUAAGCUCCGGCUAACUCCGUG
rnacentral:rRNA from 1 species